AUAAAAAACCCUCCUAUUCAAUGUGAUACUCCAAGACUAAUACAAAUCAUCUUAAAUCAGUCCUUAGCAACUAUCAUAUCUUGAUUCACCACUAAUCUAAAUAUUCUAGGUAAAGCUAUCAUAAAAGCUUUAUCCUCACCAAAAUCACCAAUACUUAUCUUCUAAAGGUCCUAAUCCAAUUAAGUAUGAAUGUUUUCGAGAUUCUUUACCUAUUUAGGCUUAUUAAUUCACCAAGUUAUUGAAGUCGUUAAUCUUGAAGUUGAGUUUAACUAUAAGUGACAUUAUUUUCAAUAGUUUUGAU
rnacentral:lncRNA from 1 species